rnacentral:rRNA from 1 species
AACGAACGCUGGCGGCAUGCCUAACACAUGCAAGUCGAACGAGAUCUUCGGGUCUAGUGGCGCACGGGUGCGUGACGCGUGGGAAUCUGCCCUUUGGUUCGGAAUAACAGUUGGAAACGACUGCUAAUACCGGAUGAUGACGAAAGUCCAAAGAUUUAUCGCCAGAGGAUGAGCCCGCGUAGGAUUAGCUAGUUGGUGUGGUAAAGGCGCACCAAGGCGACGAUCCUUAGCUGGUCUGAGAGGAUGAUCAGCCACACUGGGACCGAGACACGGCCCAGACUCCUACGGGAGGCAGCAGUGGGGAAUAUUGGACAAUGGGCGAAAGCCUGAUCCAGCAAUGCCGCGUGAGUGAUGAAGGCCUUAGGGUUGUAAAGCUCUUUUACCCGGGAUGAUAAUGACAGUACCGGGAGAAUAAGCUCCGGCUAACUCCGUGCCAGCCGCCGCGGUAA